GGAGGAAUGUAUAGCAAUAGCUGAUUGCACCAACAAAUAGUUGAUGCAAUAUUGACUCUGUCAAAUAAAAUUCUAGGUAGAAUUAUGAUAAUGACAUUGUCUGCCUAUAUGUCUUGACCAAAUUACGUGCCAGCAGUCGCGGUAAUACGUAGAAGACUAGUGUUAUUCAUCUUUAAUAGGUUUAAAGGGUACCUAGACGGUAAAUCAAGCCUUCACAGGGACUAAUUUACUAGAGUUACUUACGAGGGGGUAUUAAAGUACUGCAGGUGUAGAGAUGAAAUUCUGUCAUACCUCUUUUCAAAAGAAAAAUUAUGGCACAGGUAUAGGUGAAAGCAUCCCCUUAUGUGAUAACUGACGUUGAAGGACGAAGGCUUUGUGUCGCGAACAGGAUUAGAUACCCCAGUAGUCAAAGCAGAAAAUGAUGAAUGUCAUAGAUUAGAUAAAUAGUUUAUUCUAUAAAUGAAAAUGUAAGCAUUCCACCUCAAGAGUAAUUUGGCAACAUUGGAACUGAAAUCAUUAGACCGUUUCUGAAACCAGUAGUGAAGUAUGUUGUUUAAUUUGAUGAUCCGCAAAAAACCUUACCACAAUUUGAAUAUUUAUAUCUAUCUUUUUUUUUCGUAAAAAAAUAAAAAGGUAAUAUAUUUACAAGCGUUGCACGGCUGUCUUCAGUUAAUGUCGCGAGACUUUGGUUAGUUCCAUUAAAUUAACGUAAACCCUUACUUUAUUUUUAUAUGAAGUAGUUCCCCGCUAUAUUGGAUAUG
rnacentral:rRNA from 1 species